UAUAUAUAAAGAAAAGGACAAAAAGAAAAAAACAAAAAAUGCAUAUUGCAAUCAUCACACAUUUGCAAAUUGGGUUUUGAUACAAACAUAGAAGAACCACACCACAAAAGCUAACUGUUGAGGUUGGAGAGUCCAGGUUCAUAUAUACCUUAUGUUGAAAUCCUAUACUUUCAAUGUGGGAUACAAGUUUCCUUGCAUUAUGGAUCAUGUGAUGAGCAAGAAAAGUCCAAUAACCUUUCUAAUGUGACAGGAAAAAACUUAACUUUACUAGAUCAAUUCUCAUUUAUUGAUAAAUAAAGUGAUAAUACAAUAAAUGAGGAUGUAAUAACCAUAUGGAUCUCAUUCUUCUCUUGUAUGUUUGCAGUAUCCACUGUUGCUUCCAGGUGAGAGAGAUUUUGUAUAUCAGAGUUGCACGCCUCUAUCGACUUCUUCAGGUUCUAUUGAAGGUUCUUUCACAUUUGUUCCUGGCAGGUAUUCCACAUGACAUGAAUCAAACUCCUGCUAUAAAUUGCAUUGUUUGAACAGUAUCUCUGUAGGAGCAGAGAUUAAAAUCACUACUUCUGUUUGAGAUAAUCUUUCCAAAAUGGAUCUACUCUCAGUUAUAAUAUUAGUGUUGGUAAUUUAGGGUUUUCCAUUAUGUAGGAUCCUUAAUGUUGCCUUAUAGAGAGGGCUAUUGCAGUUUUGCAGGGUUAGUCCAUAAUAGUUUUGGCUAAAAUGGUUUGCUUCAUUAAUACAAAUGGCAUAGAAUGAUACCUUCUGAUUUCUUAUACCUUAGGAUCCUCAUAAGGAGAACCAAACAAAAAUACUUGAAAAUCUAAUGUUUAAUUUUAGUAGGAUGCAGUUAGGAGAAUUUUAUGGAAUGUGAGAGAUUUAUACACAUUGCAUCCCCCAUGGUUGAGGGGCUUCCCAAAACCACAUUUAUUGAGGAUAUACAUCCUGAAAAGGUAUUGUGACCAUGACUGCCUUGGCCCAGAAGAUCUAUUUUGCAACUGGCGAACAGAGCCUUUUUUUGUUUUUUACUUGAUCAUGAUAUUUUUAUUUUCUAACUGAAAUUAGGCUGUUUUGUUUCUUCCUUUUGUCUUUCUUCUUAUCCUAUUAUUUUAUUAUUUUUUUCUUCUAGGUUGGUGGAUCCAAAAGGAGCUCCAUUUGAAGUUGAAGUGGCACGAUUCCCCCUUCAACUUCCAGACUACAUUUUCUGAUGGUCACUGGAGUUUAAAUUCCUGUAACAAUGCUCACCCAAUAGUUUAUCAUCCUCCUGCUCUUGUUAAUAUGUGUGGCAAAGUUGUCUGCUUGAGAAAGACCUUACUAUAAAUUUGUCAGUUGUGAAGAAAUUACAUGCUUGGUUUGGUUUAUAAAUAGCAUGGGAAGGUACAAGAUUGAAUAUUUAUUUCAUGUUGAAUAAAUAUUCUCAACUUUGCUUCCAAUUUUAGAUGUGAAAUGAGUAACUGUUCUCAUGGUGUCAAUAAUAUUGGAAUUUUUGAAUUUGGAAUAGUUACUAUUCAAUA
rnacentral:misc_RNA from 1 species